AUUGAACGCUGGCGGCAGGCCUAACACAUGCAAGUCGAGCGGAGCGGCGGUCGCGUGCGUAUUGCCUAUGAAUCUGCCUGGUACUGGUGGAUAACGUACGGAAACGGACGCUAAUACCGCAUACUAUCAGAUGAGCCUAGGUCGGAUUAGCUAGUUGGUGGGGUAAAGGCCUACCAGGGCGACGAUCCGUAACUGGUCUGAGAGGAUGAUCAGUCACACUGGAACUGAGACACGGUCCAGACUCCUACGGGAGGCAGCAGUGGGGAAUAUUGAACAAUGGGCGAAAGCCUGAUCCAGCCAUGCCGCGUGUGUGAAGAAGGUCUUCGGAUUGGAAAGCACUUUAAGUUGGGAGGCGUUACCAACAGAAUAAGCACCGGCUAACGUCGUGCCAGCAGCCGCGGUAAUAC
rnacentral:rRNA from 1 species